AUGGCGUCUUCCUCUCAUGCUGCUGACACUCCGGAGACGACGGAGCAGCUAGGCUUUGAGCCCUCAUCAUGGGGUGACUUUUUCAUCGCAUACGAGCCACCGCCACCCAAGAGGUCCGAGGAAUGGAUGAUGGCGCGAGCCGAAAAACUGAAGGGGGACGUCAGCCUGUUAUUUAAGACUUGCAACGGCACGAGGGCACGAAUGUUCUUGGUGGAUACACUCCAACAUCUUGGAAUAGAUCACCACUUUGAGGAGCAGAUCCAUGACUCGUUAAACGAACUCCUGGAGAGUGACUUUAGUAGCUCAUCCAGCCUCCAUGAGGUCGCUCUUCAAUUCCGUUUACUUAGGGAGAAUGGGCAUUGGGUAUCUCCAGAUGUUUUUGAUAAAUACAAGGGUGAAGAUGGGAGCUUUAGAAAGGAUAUAACUAAUGAACCAAAAGGAAUACUAAGUUUAUACAAUGCAACUCAUCUUCUCAUUCAAGGUGAGCCAAAACUUGAGGAAGCCAUGACUUUUGCAAGGCAACAUCUUGUAUCAGUUAAUGGUAGUCUGCAAUCACCCCUAGAUAAGCAAGUCAAACGCGCCAUUCAUAGAGCACUUCCAAGGGCGUGUAAGAGGGUGGAAGUGCUACAAUAUAUCUCAGAGUAUGAAGAAGAGGAAGGGCAUAACCAAAUUUUGUUGGAGCUAGCAAAACUAGAUUUUAACCUUCUACAACAUGUCCACUUGAAGGAGCUCAAAGAUAUUACAGAGUGGUGGAAACAUUUUUCGGGAUUCAUCGACCUAAGCUUUAUUCGCGACCGUUUGGUGGAAAGCUACACUUGGGCCUAUGUGUUGUACUAUGAGAAAGGCUUUGAGCUCCAGCGAAGUAUCACCACCAAGAUGAUUGUUCUAAUUACCACUUUAGAUGACACGUAUGACAUCCGUGCGUCCAUAGAGGAAUGCCGAAAGCUACAUGAAGCCAUACAAAGAUGGGAUAAGACAGCCGUUUCUCUUCUACCCGAGUACCUAAAGAAGUUAUAUAUCGAGUUGUUGAGGACCUUCAAAAAUAUUGAGGUUGAAAUGCCAGUCAAUGUCAAUUAUGAUACUGCCUACCUCAAGAAAGCGAUUCAAAAUCAUGUCACUGGUUAUCUCCAAGAAGCGGAAUGGUGUUACUCGAAGCAUAAGCCAAGCUUUGAAAAUCAGGUGAAUGUGACUAGCCUAACUAUAGGUGCGCCAACCGUUUGCUUGAGUAUGAUGGCUAGCAUGGGUGAUACCAUAAUGAAAAGAGCAGUUGAGUGGGUAGCUGGUGUCCCUAAUGUCGUCAUAGCAGCAGGAAAGAUUGUGCGUUUCAUGAACGACAUUGCAGCAUUUGAGAACCGAAAGUGCAAGGGGGAUGCGGCAAGCUCCGUGGAGUGUUACAUCCAUGAGUACGGCGUCACAGGAGAGGUUGCCAUCGCAAGGAUAUAUGAACUGAUUGAAGAUGAAUGGAGAACUCUGAACAAAGCUCUCUUUGAAGACCAUGCAUUGCUCCCUGCGCUGAAGCGUAUUAUCGGCUUGGCCCUUAGCACAUCAUUGUUCUAUGAUAACAGGAACGAUGUGUACACAGAUAGCAAGCAUCUUCACAAAACUAUUAAGAGCCUCUUCGUAAAGCCUGUUUUGUCUGGCUAUCUAGCCACAACAGAUGAAUAA
rnacentral:rRNA from 1 species